rnacentral:rRNA from 1 species
GAUGAACGCUGGCGGCGUGCCUAAUACAUGCAAGUCGAGCGAACAGACGAGGAGCUUGCUCCUUUGACGUUAGCUGCGGACGGGUGAGUAACACGUGGAUAACCUACCUAUAAGACUGGGAUAACUUCGGGAAACCGGAGCUAAUACCGGAUAACAUGUUGAACCGCAUGGUUCAACAGUGAAAGACGGUUUUGCUGUCACUUAUAGAUGGAUCCGCGCCGCAUUAGCUAGUUGGUAAGGUAACGGCUUACCAAGGCAACGAUGCGUAGCCGACCUGAGAGGGUGAUCGGCCACACUGGAACUGAGACACGGUCCAGACUCCUACGGGAGGCAGCAGUAGGGAAUCUUCCGCAAUGGGCGAAAGCCUGACGGAGCAACGCCGCGUGAGUGAAGAAGGUCUUCGGAUCGUAAAACUCUGUUAUUAGGGAAGAACAAAUGUGUAAGUAACUAUGCACGUCUUGACGGUACCUAAUCAGAAAGCCACGGCUAACUACGUG